rnacentral:rRNA from 1 species
CAGCCGCCACGGUAAUACGGAGGGGGCUAGCGUUGUUCGGAAUUACUGGGCGUAAAGCGCACUUAGGCGGCUUGGUAAGUUAGAGGUGAAAGCCCGGAGCUCAACUCCGGAAUUGCCUUUAAGACUGCAGAGCUAGUAGGUGAGAGAGGUAAGUGGAAUUCCGAGUGUAGAGGUGAAAUUCGUAGAUAUUCGGAAGAACACCAGUGGCGAAGGCGACUGACUGGACAAGUAUUGACGCUGAGGUGCGAAAGCGUGGGGAGCAAACAGGAUUAGAUACCCGCGUAGUCCCUGUCUCUUAUAC